GAGCAAAAUGCUAAAAAGAAAAUGUGCAUUCAUCCUAACUGGGGAUGGCUCUUACCUCGGAGUGGCCAGAGCUCCUUACUGAAGGGAGAUGCCGUCUUCAUUUGACCACCAUUAAUUAAUGACAGGAUUUCCCAGCCAGUCCACACUUGGACUUGAAGUCCCGUUUUACAGGUGUUUCUAGCAGUCCAGGAAAACUGUGUAUUGUUCCUCCUCAAAGCCUCCUCGUGCCGUCUUUUGUUGAGGGAGAGAAAUGCUUCAGAGCCAUGUCAGUGCUUUUCAGCAUGCAGCCACAUGGACAAGCCGGCUCCAGGAGCUACAGGUUCCCAGAAGGCCACCUCCCAUCCCACAGCGAAGCAGAAGCUGAAGGCUCUCCUCACCCACUGCAGCCUCUCACCUUACCCCGCUUCUUUCCGAUAGCAGGCAGAAAGCCUGGCUUUAAAAGAGUUCAGACAGGAAGCAGAAAUGUUCCAGGAGGAUUUCUGAGUCCAUCAGAAGAGCAACUGGCUUCUCAAAGUGUGGAUUUCAGAGAUCCCUAAAAUAUUUGGCUACACUGUUGGAACAGUCAGGACUGAGGAACCAGCACCCCAGAGGACCUGCAGCUCCCCAGCACUCACACCUUGAGUCAAGGCUGAGCUCCACAAGCCGCUUCAGAAUGGAAAGAGAAAUCCCCAUGCUCUGGCUGAUGGGAUGUCUCUGGGAUCAGGCAUGCUGAGCUGAGCUAAGAGAGGAGCCCAACUGGCGCAUGAACCCAGGGACAACAGGGAGGUGUGCGAUGAUGGUGCAACAGGAGACCUGGCUCACAGUGCUUUUCCCUUGCACCCCCUGCUGCGGGGGAAAGGAGAGGAAGGGUGGCUGUCCCGGGACAUCUCCACAGGCAAGUCCUCCCUUGGCAGCAGUGUAUCUCACACACUUAUGAUGGCACCACAUCAGCACAGGAUGGAUAAAGGACUGGAAAACAGCUAAGGAGGUUGGCUCUGCUAAGAGAAGAGCCACUACAACAGAGGAAGAUAACAGAAAAACUCGUUAUGCCUGACAAAGCCCUUGAAGAUUGAGAACCAGUUCUUUUGGAAAUUCCCAGUGUAGGUUAAUAGGAACUUUACUUUUUAUAUUUUUGUGUGUGCAUAAAUGUAAAAGAGGACACAGUAUAAAAAAGCAAUAGUUCUGGGAAUAUAUAAAAUGCAUUUUGAUUAUGCCUGAUUCAUUUUGCAUAUUCAUACAGCAUGUACUGGCGUCAGGUUCUCUGUUUUUGAAAACUCCAAGAACCUCAGCCUGCAUUUAUCCUUUGAACAGUCAAUUUUUUUCCCAGUUUUCCAGUAACACUUAAGCUUUGAAAACUAUACAAAUUGUAGCCUAGCUGUGCCAGUAUUUGAAUUCACCAGUAAAAAUAUUUUAGUCCUGCAUCUCUAGUAAAUGCAACGCAGGUUGCAUUCUCCAGCCUCCAGCAAAAUCUGUGGAAUAUUUUCAGUGGCUUCUGUGAGGGAAGCCCUUGCUGAAGGCACAGCUCACUGUGU